rnacentral:rRNA from 1 species
GACGAACGCUGGCGGCGUGCUUAACACAUGCAAGUCGAACGGAGUGGCGAACGGGUGAGUAACACGUGGGUGACCUGCCCUGCACUUCGGGAUAAGCCUUGGUAACUGGGUCUAAUACUGCAUAUCGUGGGAUGGGCCCGCGGCCUAUGAGCUUGUUGGUGGGGUAAUGGCCUACCAAGGCGGCGACGGGUAGCCGGCCUGUGAGGGUGGACGGCCACAUUGGGACUGAGACACGGCCCAGACUCCUACGGGGGGCAGCAGGGGGGAAGAUUGCACAAUGGGCGGAAGCCUGAUGAAGCGACGCCGCGUGGGGAAUGACGGCCUUCGGGUUGUAAACUCCUUUCCCCAUAGACGCGGUAGAUGGAGAAGAAGCACCGGCUAACUACGUGCCAGCAGCCGCGGUAAUAG